rnacentral:lncRNA from 1 species
GUCGUUUGUUUAUGUAAUUUAAUUUUCUCUUUUCUCGUUUUUUUAUAUAGAUAAGAACCUUGGUUUUCCCGUUUAAAUGGUUUUACACUAGUAAUUUUGGGGCCCUUUAUAGCUUGUUGUUCUGUGUGAGCCAAGGCUCCGUGUUGAAGGCCGGAAAUUAACCUAUACAUGCUAUAAUGGUUUACUUUUUUAAAUUGUUAUUUGGAUUGAGAGUUGUCUCAUUGCACUCACCCACAUCUUCCCAUAUCUAUGUAUAAUCAGGUGUCACAUGUCAUGUUCAUUUCAAGAGUGGUAAAUGCAGGUUUUAUGAUCAGGUGUCACAUGUUAUGUUCAGUACAGAAGUGGUAAAUGAAGGUUUUAUGAUCAGGUGUUGCAUGUUAUGUUCAGUACAGAAGUGGUGAAUUUAUGUUGAAGAAUCAGGUGUCACAUGACAUGUUUAGAACAGGAGUGGUCAAUGAAAGUUGUAUGAUCAGGUGUCAUAUGACAUGUUUAGAACAGGA